rnacentral:lncRNA from 10 species
AGGAAUGCAGGCUGACUCUAGGAGCUCAGAACGACCCCUGCCUGACAGCCAGCAGAGAAACCAGCCUUCAAUCCUACCACUGCAAGAGCACUGAACUCUGCCAAUAAGCAGGGAGUUUGGAAGGGAUCCCCAAGCUGUAUGAGACUUAGUCCCAGCUGACACCUUGAUUUUAUCUCUGUAGGACCCUGAAGAGAGGACCCAGUCAUGCUGCAUUCAGGCUUCUGACCUCCAGAACUAUGAACUAAUAAAUGGGUGUUUUAAGCUGUUAUGUUUGCAAUGUGUUAUGAAGUCAUAGGAAACUGAUACAGAUGGUCAUUUCAAAGAGGGGAACCACAUGACAAAUGCUCAGAGCCAUAAAGAAGCAGAGAACUAAAGUCAUUCAGAGAACUAAAGACAUUCGGCAUAGCUGGACCAUGGGGAGCAAAGGAGACGGUAUGAAAGCUAAUCUUUGAAGACACACUUAAUCAGCGAAAUGGUGAUUGUUGAAGGAGAAUUGUGGCCUGAUGCGCUAAUUUCUAAGUUAAAAAGGAACAUCAUUUUCGCAACAAUAAAGUAGUGAUCUGCCCUUCCACGCAGUGUUAAGACACUUCCCACAACUCCUUCACCCUUCUCAUUUAGG